AUUAUUGCAAGAACUUUUAGAUAAAUUAUUGAAAUACUGUCAUAAGUGGAACAUUGAAGUUAAUACUGAAAAAACAAAAGUUCUAGUAUUUAGAAAUGGAUGGCAACCAGUAAGUGUCAGAUUCUUCUACGACAUUAAAGAGCUAGAAAUAGUAAAUUCCUGUAUAUAUCUUGGCAUGAUGUUUUAUUCUAAUGGAAAAUUCGUACAGACUCAGAAACGUUUGUCCCAACAGGGAUCACGAGCUUUAUCGUCAUUGUUAAACUCAGUGAAAGAUUUCUACUUGUCAAAGAAGAAAUAACUUGAUCUAUUUGACAGUAUGGUGGCCUCUGUUCUUAAUUAUGCUUCGGAAAUAUGGGGUUUCAAUCGAGGUAAAGAUGUUGAGAUUAUUCACAAUCGUUUCUGUCGAUAUAUUUUAAAAGUUGGCAAAUCUGUCCCAAAUUGUUUUUUAUAUGGUGAAUUGGGCCAUUUUCCUAUGUAUAUUAUGAGAAAAUUUAGAAUUGUGAAAUAUUGG
rnacentral:lncRNA from 1 species